GCUGGACACAUACGAGAUGAGGCCCUUGAAGAAGGUGACCGAUAAGGUUGGAAGAAGUUGAGGUUCCACCCCAAAAUCAAUUGGCAAUGAGGGGAGUAAUCUAACUCCCUAUAAGCCCUUGCUAGGUUACUCAACUUUUCAAUGUGGGACUUUUUACCUUCACAUUCUCACAACAGUAUCCUGAACAAGCUAAUGGUUGAGGUGCAAAGUGUUCGUUGUCGUGUCCCUCCUAAGUGCAAGACGUACGGUUUCGCAACAACUAAGUAACUUAUGUGGUGUAUUUUUUACAUGGUAUAUUAAUUAUGCAUCCAUUGUAUGAUGAUGAUAUGGUUAGCAUCGGUAUAAAUGAAUGUAUGCUUGGUUUUCCAAUUCCAAUGCUAUGAAUUGGUGUUUGGAGGGAUGGUGUGCAAGUGGUGUAUCCUAGUGGAUUAGGGCUCGGAUUUUAGGUACAAAACUCUUGAGUGUUUAUUCUUAUACUUGUAUUUUCCCUGAUAUAAAGAAUUUGGUAACACAGUGGACGUAGGCAG
rnacentral:lncRNA from 1 species